ensembl:snRNA U6 U6 spliceosomal RNA
GUGCUUGCUUGGGCAGCACAUAGACUAAAAUUAGAAUGAUACAGGAUUAGCUUGCCCCUUGUGCAAGGAUUACGCACAAAUUUGUGAAGCAGUCCAGUCCAUAUUUUU